UACAGAGGGGGCAAGCGUUGUUCGGAAUCAUUGGGCGUAAAGGGCGCGUAGGUGGUUCUGUAUGUCUACCGUGAAAGCAUACAGCUCAACUGUAUUUUGUCGGUAGAAACUGCAGGACUUGAGGCUGGGAGGGGCUGGUGGAAUUCCCUGUGUAGCGGUGAAAUGCGUAGAGAUGGGGGAGAACACUCGUGGCGAAGGCGGCCAGCUAGACCAGUUCUGACACUGAGGCGCGACAGCGUGGGGAGCAAACAGG
rnacentral:rRNA from 1 species